UACAGGGGGUGCAAACGUUGCUCGGAAUUAUUGGGCGUAAAGCGCGCGUAGGCGGCUACUUAAGUCGGACGUGAAAUCCCUCGGCUCAACCGGGGAACUGCGUCCGAUACUGGUUGGCUUGAAUUCGGGAGAGGGAUGCGGAAUUCCAGGUGUAGCGGUGAAAUGCGUAGAUAUCUGGAGGAACACCGGUGGCGAAGGCGGCAUCCUGGACCGGUAUUGACGCUGAGGCGCGAAAGCCAGGGGAGCAAACGGG
rnacentral:rRNA from 1 species